rnacentral:lncRNA from 1 species
AAAUCUUUCUCCUCUAAAGUUUCAGGAUGGUUGCUACUUGAAUGAGAGGAUGAAAUGCUUGCCCUGUGGAAUCCCCUAAAUAAUAGAGGAAGUGGAGCAGAUAUAGGUGGUCGAGAAUCAGUAAAUACAUCAUAUAAAAUGACAACCUUUGCAUCCACUUGGUGAACAAGCAAAACGUUGUCAACCACACUCACAGCAAUCUUGCUCGAAUAUACAGGAAAA